UAGAUGAUGAUUCUAUAAGCACUACCUCAGAAGACAGAUCUUGUACGCCAGUAGCAAAACGGAUAGCAGGGACGGACAAUCACAUUCCCUUGGAAGAAACACAAAAUCACUUUAAAGUUAUAACAGUUAAUGAUACUGGAGCAGGAAAACACUGGAGUGAUAAUGAAGUCAGAGCUCUAAUAAACAUAUGGUCAGAUGAAAAGAUACAACAAAUGCUUGAAGGGGCCACAAGAAAUAAAGAAAUAUUUGAGGAAAUUGCCAGAAGGUUAAUGAAACGUGGUAUAGACAGAGACUGGAAACAAUGUCGCACAAAGUACAAGAACUUAAAAUACGAAUAUCGCGCACUGCAGAAGGAGAAUGAGCAUCUUGGUAAUCCCAGGAGAAAAAUGAGAUUUUAUGAUGAAGUUGACUGUAUCUUAAGACGACAGCCUCUGGGUCCCUCGAGCUGGGGAUGUGAAAGUUCAAGUCUCCUAUCAGUUUCAGUGGGAGAUGUUACAGCAAACACAGGAUCCUUGGGUAUCAAGAGAAAAACAUGGAAUGAUGGUAAGA